CUCCUUUGACGUUAGCGGCGGACGGGUGAGUAACACUGGGUAACCUACCUAUAAGACUGGGAUAACUUCGGGAAACCGGAGCUAAUACCGGAUAAUAUUUCGAACCGCAUGGUUCGAUAGUGAAAGGUGGUUUUGCUAUCACUUAUAGAUGGACCCGCGCCGUAUUAGCUAGUUGGUAAGGUAACGGCUUACCAAGGCGACGAUACGUAGCCGACCUGAGAGGGUGAUCGGCCACACUGGAACUGAGACACGGGUCCAGACUCCUACGGGAGGCAGCAGGC
rnacentral:rRNA from 1 species